CAGGAUCCAAUCCAGGAUACCAUAUUAUUUCAUGCUACGUCUGAAAGUUCUAAAACAGAGCACAAAGAAGGCUCACUAAGUACGGCCUUACCACCAGCCAUUGUUUUUGGUCAGAGAUGAUGAUGCAUUCUUGGAUGGACUAGAUUUUCAGCAAAGGAGCUGCUUUUCACAUAUGAUAUGUAAGAAAUAAAUACGAAGAUGUCAUAAAAAAUAAACUUUCUACUUGUGUGAAA